UGGCUCAGUUGGUAGAGGAUGGUGUUUGCAACGCCAGGGUUGUGGGUUCGAUUCCCAU
rnacentral:tRNA from 1 species